CAAUGCCUUAUGCAUAAGUAAGCUUCGAUUUGACACAUCUAUCCUACCCCCUUCAGACAUGCCGAAGUCUCUCUACGAAGUCGAUCGCAGAGUGUUGCUUCAUCCUGAUAUUAUCCUACCUGGAUAAAUAUCAAAAUCGGGAGAUGUAGAUUAACUAGCUCUAUGCCCUGCAUUACAUUCUAGCGUUGGUAAUAUCUUGGCGUUUGUAGUCAAAAGAGAGCGCUUUUAAAUGCAAAUUAUCUAUAUUAGCAAAAGGCAAAAUUGAACCAAUCAGGAAGCUAGAAAAACCUGUCAUUUCUUCAGAACCCGUUAAAAAUAUAUGAAGCAAUGCCCUUAUUUGUAGCUAGGAUGCAAUUACGUCUCGCAAGAAGCCCAAACAGUAUGAUAAAUAGUAAGCCAAAGCCGAACCGCAAUUUUUUACAGGUUUUAUAAACAGAAUAGGAGCAAAAAAAUGGCGGACGUGCCGAGAACGCUAGCCAUUUUGACCACGCUACUCGCGUGUGUUUUUCUUUCGGGAACACACUCCCAGUUAUCUUAUUCAAGAGCUAAACAAUGGGCAGAUGAGAUUGGAAGGAAUAUUACGGCUUUCGUGAAGACGAAAACACAGUUUGACACUUUACAA